UACGGAGGGUGCAAGCGUUAUCCGGGAUUCACGGGGUUUAAAGGGUGCGUAGGAGGGUAGGUAAGUCAGUGAUGAAAUCUUCGAGCUUAACUCGGAACUGCCGUUGAUACUAUCUAUCUUGAAUACCUGGAGGUGAGCGGAAUAUGUCAUGUAGCGGUGAAAAUGCUUAGAUAUGACAUAAGAACACCCAAAUUGCGAAAGGCAGCUCGCUACACGAAUAUUUGACUCUGAGGCACAAAAGCGUGGGGGAUCAAAACAGGG
rnacentral:rRNA from 1 species